rnacentral:rRNA from 1 species
CAGCAGCCGCGGUAAUACAGAGGGUGCAAGCGUUAAUCGGAUUUACUGGGCGUAAAGCGUGCGUAGGUGACUGUUUAAGUCGGAUGUGAAAGCCCUGGGCUUAACCUGGGAACUGCAUUCGAUACUGGAUAGCUAGAGAUCGGUAGAGGGCAGCGGAAUUCCGGGUGUAGCGGUGAAAUGCGUAGAUAUCCGGAGGAACACCGAUGGCGAAGGCAACUGCCUGGGCCUGAUCUGACACUGAGGCACGAAAGCGUGGGUAGCAAACAGGAUUAGAUACCCCCGUAGUCCCUGUCUCUUAUAC